GGGCAAUCUGCCCUGCACUCUGGGACAAGCCCUGGAAACGGGGUCUAAUACCGGAUAACACACGCUCAGGCAUCUGAGUGUGUUGAAAGCUCCGGCGGUGCAGGAUGAGCCCGCGGCCUAUCAGCUUGUUGGUGAGGUAGAAGCUCACCAAGGCGACGACGGGUAGCCGGCCUGAGAGGGCGACCGGCCACACUGGGACUGAGACACGGCCCAGACUCCUACGGGAGGCAGCAGUGGGGAAUAUUGCACAAUGGGCGAAAGCCUGAUGCAGCGACGCCGCGUGAGGGAUGACGGCCUUCGGGUUGUAAACCUCUUUCAGCAGGGAAGAAGCGAAAGUGACGGUACCUGCAGAAGAAGCGCCGGCUAACUACGUGCCAGCAGCCGCGGUAAUACGUAGGGCGCAAGCGUUGUCCGGAAUUAUUGGGCGUAAAGAGCUCGUAGGCGGCUUGUCACGUCGGUUGUGAAAGCCCGGGGCUUAACCCCGGGUCUGCAGUCGAUACGGGCAGGCUAGAGUGUGGUAGGGGAGAUCGGAAUUCCUGGUGUAGCGGUGAAAUGCGCAGAUAUCAGGAGGAACACCGGUGGCGAAGGCGGAUCUCUGGGCCAUUACUGACGCUGAGGAGCGAAAGCGUGGGGAGCGAACAGGAUUAGAUACCCUGGUAGUCCACGCCGUAAACGGUGGGAACUAGGUGUUGGCGACAUUCCACGUCGUCGGUGCCGCAGCUAACGCAUUAAGUUCCCCGCCUGGGGAGUACGGCCGCAAGGCUAAAACUCAUAGGAAUUGACGGGGGCCCGCACAAGCAGCGGAGCAUGUGGCUUAAUUCGACGCAACGCGAAGAACCUUACCAAGGC
rnacentral:rRNA from 1 species